GUAUUGGCCCCAUUCUAGAGACGGUGGAGGGCAGAGAGAAAUGACAUGGAACUAACCUUAAGGAAUGCACUAUCUAGCCAGGAGACAGACAUACAGCCAAAUAUUCUGCUUUUAGCGUCUUCACAUUCAUGGCUUGAAGGUGGCCAUGGUGGGAGUAUUUACACCACAGAAAUCAGCAAAUGCUAUGCAUCAGGGCCCUAGGAAGGCCAAUUAUGAAACACCAGCAUAUGACAGGAUAGAAGAUGUCAGAGAAAAGCCUACUCAGCGUGAAGAUGACGAGGAUGAAGGCUUGCCUUUUUGAUGAUCCACUUCCCCUUAAUGAACAUAAUAUCCGGUGAAGACGAAGGAGCAAAAUGGUUUUAAGGCAGACUCACUUAUUUAAGAGAAGUAUAUAUUCCCAUUGCCGGUGGUUUGAUACCAUUUUUAUUUGCUUUCAAGUACACUGAGGUCUGGCAAGGCAAGGAAAGGAGGGAGAA
rnacentral:lncRNA from 1 species